ACACUCCUGCGGGAGGCAGCAGUGGGGAAUAUUGGACAAUGGGCGCAAGCCUGAUCCAGCCAUGCCGCGUGAGUGAUGAAGGCCCUAGGGUUGUAAAGCUCUUUCACCGGUGAAGAUAAUGACGGUAACCGGAGAAGAAGCCCCGGCUAACUUCGUGCCAGCAGCCGCGGUAAUACGAAGGGGGCUAGCGUUGUUCGGAUUUACUGGGCGUAAAGCGCACGUAGGCGGACUAUUAAGUCAGGGGUGAAAUCCCGGGGCUCAACCCCGGAACUGCCUUUGAUACUGGUAGUCUUGAGUUCGAGAGAGGUGAGUGGAAUGCCGAGUGUAGAGGUGAAAUUCGUAGAUAUUCGGAGGAACACCAGUGGCGAAGGCGGCUCACUGGCUCGAUACUGACGCUGAGGUGCGAAAGCGUGGGGAGCAAACAGGAUUAGAAACCCCAGUAGUCCCAUG
rnacentral:rRNA from 1 species